CUGGAUUUGCGGCAGACUGUCUUGCAGCUUCUAGGGCUAACUCAGGUGAGGUGGAGCUGCUAGGGUCCUGAAUUCAGAGAUCCCUUGAUUGACAAGGAACAUUAUGGCAAGCCAGUGGCUGAAGUAACUGAGGAGGAGAAGAAUGAUCAGGAACUCAAGGAGACUCAGCUCAUCAAAGCUGCUCCAACAAUGACAACGAGCUCUGUGUUUGAAGACCCCACAAUCAGUAAAUUCACCAACAUGAUGAUGAAGGGAGAAAACAAAGUACUAGCCAGAUCCUUCAUGACUCAGGUUCUGGAAGCUAUGAGAAGUACCAUGAUGCUUCUGCAGGGGAACAGGCAACCAUUGAACACAACCCCUAUACCCCCUACACCGUCUUCAACUAGGCAGUGAAAAACUAUGAGCCUGUGAUUGGGCUGAUACCCAUCCUCAAGGGAGGCCAUUUCUCCUGGAUCCCUGGAUCCUCACCCUACCAAUAUCACCACUUCCUGGCCAUAAAGUGGAUGAUCACUAAGUGGCACCAGGGGAUGCUGAUGCCAGCCAGAGAAGCUGUCGCAUGGGCUGCUGGAGGCUUUUUGCAACCAGGGCCCCGUGAUCAAGAGGAAGCAUGACAUGCACAAGAUGGUCAAGGCCAACCAUGCCCUGGCCCACUACUGCUGG
rnacentral:lncRNA from 10 species